rnacentral:misc_RNA from 1 species
AUCGAUGUAGUGGCUCAUGCGCUGGCCCAUUUGCCGCCCUCCGACUUUGCCGGUGUGCGACGGGAUGAGGCCGAUGCUGAGCAUCUUCUGCGCCCACUGCUCGUUGUGGUAGCAGUCCCCGCUAACGGNNNNNNNNNNCACAGAUGCACCAUUUCGUGUACCAGCGUGGACAGGGUUUCCUUGUCACCGAGCGCGAAAUGCAGGGGAUUGAGUGCGAUCUCGUCGGCGAAGAUCACGCCGUCGUAUGACGUGAACUUCUUGUGAGAGAAGUAGCCCAUCGAUCCCGUCUUG